GUAUGUAUUUUGUAGUGUGCUGGAACUCCAAAAAGGAGUUUAUGUUCUUCUAACUCAAAUAUUGUCUUGAGAAAAGAAUUAAGGAAACUGUGAGAGAGAGAGAGAGAGAGAGAGAGAGCGCUUCAUAUUGUGGUCAUCUUGCUGGAGCAAACCGUGGAGAAGGAAGAAAGGAAGAAUAAAGAAGAAGAGGGUUUUGUAGGAUACCAAAAUUGAAGUUAAAAAUUAUGAAAAAUUCAUCUUAAGGAAUUGAGGAAGGCGUCUCUACACCUCUUGGGAAUUAAUUCGUAGAGUUUCAAAUCUAUUCUUUGCUAUUUUGGAGAUUCCUAGACUUUUGUGUGGCUCGCCUCAACUUGGAAGAUUAGAGUUUCUGGAGGAUCAAAUGUGAACAUCUGGUAGUUGAGGUUUUUCUUAGCGUCACUCUAGGAUGUAGUUUUAUCCUUUGUUUUAUGAAGUAGGUUGAUUGUAAAUGUUUGCUUUGUAAAGUUGGAUGUAUUGAUGAAUUCACGAAUAGUAUGUUUUAUUUUGGGGGUAGUGGUGCAUGGAAACUAUUUUAGUAGCAUGAUGAUAUUUUUGUCUUUGCAUAGAUCAUCUCAUAUAUGUUGGCCAAUCGAAGGGUCUUAUGCACUAUUGGUGAUGUGACACAAGAAUUAUACAGGUGAUUAUUGUGUACAAGUGUUAUAGCGUUGAAGUGCGCCCUCUUGGCGGGGAUUGCCUUGCCGAGAUUGGGUCGUGACAAUAUGGCCCAUGACAUAUCUAGUAGGUUCAAAAUACGAUCAUUGUGUUUGGUUGAUGAUUUGGAAAGAAAAAGAAAAAUGAAGAAAAAAAAAAUUGUUUA